GAUGAACGCUGGCGGCGUGCCUAAUACAUGCAAGUCGAGCGAACAGACGAGGAGCUUGCUCCUCUGACGUUAGCGGCGGACGGGUGAGUAACACGUGGAUAACCUACCUAUAAGACUGGGAUAACUUCGGGAAACCGGAGCUAAUACCGGAUAAUAUAUUGAACCGCAUGGUUCAAUAGUGAAAGACGGUUUUGCUGUCACUUAUAGAUGGAUCCGCGCCGCAUUAUCUAGUUGGUAAGGUAACGGCUUACCAAGGCAACGAUGCGUAGCCGACCUGAGAGGGUGAUCGGCCACACUGGAACUGAGACACGGUCCAGACUCCUACGGGAGGCAGCAGUAGGGAAUCUUCCGCAAUGGGCGAAAGCCUGACGGAGCAACGCCGCGUGAGUGAUGAAGGUCUUCGGAUCGUAAAACUCUGUUAUUAGGGAAGAACAAAUGUGUAAGUAACUAUGCACGUCUUGACGGUACCUAAUCAGAAAGCCACGGCUAACUACGUG
rnacentral:rRNA from 1 species